CAGUCGCCGCGGUAAUACGGAGGGUCCGAGCGUUAAUCGGAAUUACUUGGCGUAAAGCGUGCGCAGGCGGUUUGUUAAGCGAGAUGUGAAAGCCCUGGGCUCAACCUAGGAAUAGCAUUUCGAACUGGCGAACUAUAGUCUUGUAGAGGGGGGUAGAAUUCCAGGUGUAGCGGUGAAAUGCGUAUAGAUCUGGAGGAAUACCGGUGGCGAAGGCGGCCCCCUGGACAAAGACUGACGCUCAUGCACGAAAGCGUGGGGAGCAAACAGGAUUAGAUACCCCUGUAGUCCCUGUCUCUUAUAC
rnacentral:rRNA from 1 species